GCCCUGAUGGUGGAAUAGGUAGACACAGGGCACUUAAAAUGCCCUUUCCGUAAGGGAGUGAGGGUUCGAGUCCCUCUCGGGGCACCA
rnacentral:tRNA from 1 species